AGCAUAUCAAUAAGCGGAGGAAAAGAAACCAACAGGGAUUGCCCUAGUAACGGCGAGUGAAGCGGCAACAGCUCAAAUUUGAAAUCUGGCCUCGGCCCGAGUUGUAAUUUGCAGAGGAUGUUUCUGGCGCGGUGCCUUCCGAGUUCCCUGGAACGGGACGCCACAGAGGGUGAGAGCCCCGUAUGGUUGGACACCAAGCCUGUGUGAAACUCCUUCGACGAGUCGAGUAGUUUGGGAAUGCUGCUCUAAAUGGGAGGUAAAUCUCUUCUAAAGCUAAAUACCGGCCAGAGACCGAUAGCGCACAAGUAGAGUGAUCGAAAGAUGAAAAGCACCUUGAAAAGGGGGUUAAACAGUACGUGAAAUUGUUGAAAGGGAAGCGCUCAUGACCAGACUUGUGCCGGGCGGUUCAUCCGGGGUUCUCCCCGGUGCACUCCGCCCGGCUCAGGCCAGCAUCGGUUCUCGUUGGGGGAUAAGAACGGUAGGAACGUGGCCCUCCCUCGGGAGGGUGUUAUAGCCUGCCGUACGAUACCCUGAUGGGGACCGAGGUUCGCGCUCCGCAAGGAUGCUGGCGUAAUGGUCAUCAGCGACCCGUCUUGAAACACGGACCAAGGAGUCGUCCAUUAGAGCGAGCGUUUGGGUGUAAAACCCGCACGCGUAAUGAAAGUGAAAUUAGGUGAGAGCUUCGGCGCAUCAUCGACCGAUCCUGAUGUUCUCGGAUGGAUUUGAGUAAGAGUUUUAACGGACGGACCCGAAAGACAGUGAACUAUGCUUGUAUAGGGUGAAGCCAGAGGAAACUCUGGUGGAGGCUCGCAGCGGUUCUGACGUGCAAAUCGAUCGUCAAAUAUGAGCAUGGGGGCGAAAGACUAAUCGAACUGUCUAGUAGCUGG
rnacentral:rRNA from 1 species